ensembl:lncRNA
UCUGACGAGGGCAGCAACAGGUCUUUCGCAGAUCAGAGGAUUGGGCCACGAGAGAGAACCAUGCUGUUUUCCCCUUGGUACCAUAGAGAUAGCAUCUCUCUCGCCCGCUGUCCCUGCUGUCAGACUGGCUGUUGCUCCCAUCCCUGAGUCAAUAUUGACCCCCCGCCCUGCCAGCCGGAGGAGCUGCAGGCAGGCUACGGUGGGAGGGGAUGAAGACCCCCCUAGCGGUCCGACCGGCCGCUAGGGGUCCUACUGCCCGUCAAGGGCACGGUAACGCAGGUGCAUUAGGUGCAGGUGGUCAAGUCAACUGCCAAAUAACAAACUAUGGGAAGUGGAUGUUUCCUUGUCGCAACCCUCGCAUCCUUUCAUCAUUAUCAAGACUCUCUCUGGUCGAUUGAUUUUUUCCUCUUACAGAAACUUCCUGGUUUGAAGGCCAAUGUUAUUCUUGACCGCGCCCGACUGUAAACCAAUAAGAUCGGGGAUGUUUGUGGUGCGGUGGUUGCCGUCAGACCACGAUCAAAACAGACACAAACACACAAAUCUCUGUCAUGGUUAAACGAGGGAGAAAAA